CCUACGGGAGGCAGCAGUGAGGAAUAUUGGUCAAUGGGCGGGAGCCUGAACCAGCCAAGCCGCGUGAGGGAAGAAGGUACAGCGUAUCGUAAACCUCUUUUGUCAGGGAACAAAGGCGGGGACUAGUCCCCGGAUGAGGGUACCUGAAGAAAAAGCAUUGGCUAACUCCGUGCCAGCAGCCGCGGUAAUACGGAGGAUGCGAGCGUUAUCCGGAUUUAUGGGGUUUAAAGGGUGCGCAGGCGGCCUGUUAAGUCAGCGGUAAAAGCCCGGGGCUCAACCCCGGCGAGCCGUUGAAACUGGCGGGCUGGAGUUGGAGAGAAGUACGCGGAAUGCGCGGUGUAGCGGUGAAAUGCUUAGAUAGCGCGCAGAACCCCGAUUGCGAAGGCAGCGUACCGGCUCCACACUGACGCUGAGGCACGAAAGCGUGGGUAUCGAACAGGAUUAGAUACCCCAGUAGUC
rnacentral:rRNA from 1 species